rnacentral:rRNA from 1 species
UAGGGAAUCUUCCACAAUGGACGCAAGUCUGAUGGAGCAACGCCGCGUGAGUGAAGAAGGGUUUCGGCUCGUAAAGCUCUGUUGUUAAAGAAGAACGUGGGUAAGAGUAACUGUUUACCCAGUGACGGUAUUUAACCAGAAAGGAACGGCUAAAUACGUACCAG